rnacentral:rRNA from 1 species
UACGUAGGGGGCAAGCGUUGUCCGGAUUUAUUGGGCGUAAAGAGCGUGUAGGCGGUCAGGUAGGUCCGUUGUGAAAACUCGAGGCUCAACCUCGAGACGCCGAUGGAAACCAUCUGACUAGAGUCCGGAAGAGGAGAGUGGAAUUCCUGGUGUAGCGGUGAAAUGCGCAGAUAUCAGGAAGAACACCCGUGGCCAAGGCGGCUCUCUAGUACGGUACUGACGCUGAGACGCGAAAGCGUGGGGAGCGAACAGG